UUAAAUUAACAUUUAGAAACAGAGAAACAAUAUAAAUAAUUGAGAUAGAAAAUUAUGCAUUGUUGAAAGGGAUUUCCCUUGAGCUGCAUUUCAAGCUCAGGUUGUAAAAUUGCAUGUUUGUUGAAUGAAAUGGAAAUAAUAAAGGAGGUAAUGGAACCUUAAGUUUCAGAAUAUGGGCUAUGUGUAUUUGUGGCAGUUUUAAGUAUGGCAAUAUAACUCUUGCAUUUCAAUAUUGAAUGAUAAUUAUCUAUGUUUCCUUAAAUUGAAAUCUCGCUUUGUUUUCUCCACCGUUUUUUUUAAGAGAACAUUGCAUUAAACCUGCAAUUUUAUGUUUGUCUGCAGGGGGUGAUAUUGCUACACUGCUCUUGUUGGGCCUUCUGCUUAUGUGAGGAACAGAGAGAUCAAACAAAUGAAGGAUUGUAUGAAGAAUGGCAAUAGCUUUUCUUUCCUUUCUCAUGACAUUAACGAACUUGAGCACUCCUACCAACUCAAUCUUCCAAGAGUAACUGUGAUUAUGCCCCUAAAAGGGUUUGGAGAACAUAAUCUCCAUAACUGGAGGAGUCAGAUAACACUCUAUAUGGUGGUCCUAUUGAAUUUCUUUUUGUGGUAGAAAGUAUCGAGGAUCCUGCUUACCAUGCUGUAUCAAGGCUAAUAGCAGAAUU